GCUUGCUUUCUCGAGCGAGUGGCGAACGGGUGAGUAACGCGUGAGGAACCUGCCUCAAAGAGGGGGACAACAGUUGGAAACGACUGCUAAUACCGCAUAAGCCCACGGGUCGGCAUCGACCAGAGGGAAAAGGAGCAAUCCGCUUUGAGAUGGCCUCGCGUCCGAUUAGCUAGUUGGUGAGGUAACGGCCCACCAAGGCAACGAUCGGUAGCCGGACUGAGAGGUUGAACGGCCACAUUGGGACUGAGACACGGCCCAGACUCCUACGGGAGGCAGCAGUGGGGAAUAUUGCACAAUGGGGGAAACCCUGAUGCAGCGACGCCGCGUGGAGGAAGAAGGUCUUCGGAUUGUAAACUCCUGUUGUUGAGGAAGAUAAUGACGGUACUCAACAAGGAAGUGACGGCUAACUACGUGCCAGCAGCCGCGGUAAAACGUAGGUCACAAGCGUUGUCCGGAAUUACUGGGUGUAAAGGGAGCGCAGGCGGGCAGACAAGUUGGAAGUGAAAUCCAUGGGCUCAACCCAUGAACUGCUUUCAAAACUGUAUGUCUUGAGUAGUGCAGAGGUAGGCGGAAUUCCCGGUGUAGCGGUGGAACGCGUAGAUAUCGGGAGGAACACCAGUGGCGAAGGCGGCCUACUGGGCACCAACUGACGCUGAGGCUCGAAAGUGUGGGUAGCAAACGGGAUUAGAUACCCUGGUAGUCCACACCGUAAACGAUGAUUACUAGGUGUUGGAGGAUUGACCCCUUCAGUGCCGCAGUUAAAAGGAUAAGUAAUCCACCUGGGGAGUACGACCGC
rnacentral:rRNA from 1 species